CUCGGGCCGCUCCCGAUUCCGCUCCCGAUCCCGCAGCGCUCCGAGCCCCGCGGGGCCGCGGCCGGGCCGCCCCGCCGGGACACACGGAACGUUGGAGUCAAGUUGCUCCUGGAGAGGUGCAGACAGUCCAUUUCAGUUGUGUGGAGGAUCCCACAGUCACAUAAAUGCAGUAUCUAAACGUAAAAGAAGAUUGCAAAGCCAUGGCUUUCUGUGCAAAGAUGAGGAGCACAAAGAAGAGUGAAGUAAACCUGGAAGUUCAGCAUCAGGGCUUAGAAAUCCUCUUCUACCUGCAAGAUAAAGACCCCAUUUGUUA